GGCAUUGCGCAUGGGCGAAGCCUGAGCGCAACGCCGCGUGCGUGAUGAAGGCCUUCGGUUGUAAAACUGCUUUUACAUGGAAAAAACCGUGGGACUUGCCCCCUAAUGGCGUACCUAAGAAUAAGGCCCGGCCAUUCCGUGCCAAC
rnacentral:rRNA from 1 species